rnacentral:rRNA from 1 species
AUACGCGAGAAACCUUACCUGGCCUUGACAUGUACCGAAUUUAGCAGAGAUGCUUUAGUGCUCGAAAGAGAACGGUAACACAGGUGUUGCAUGGCUGUCG